GGCUCGAAGGAAAUCAGCACAAGUUAGAUGAGAGAUAUCAUGAGUUACUUCAAAGAACCCUUUAGCACUAGCACCUCUAGCAUGAACCACACGCUCUGGAAUGCGUUCCCUGUCGAAAUUUGCUAGCUUCUCCACCAAAUGAUAAUCCUCAAGCAGAAUUGGGCCUGCCAAAGAACCAGUAAUUUCACCUCCAGUUGGUUUUAUAUGAAUACAAGUCUACAGAGAAACAAGAUAUGGCUCGCAAACUGAAAAUUCCUGUACCUCUGGACCCAACAGUGAGGGAAUUGUUAUUAUUCCAGACAGGGGCACCAGAGUUUGUGGUGAAGAAUGAGGAAUUGUGGGCGCUUGAUGGACGAAACUUGUAAGGAUCCAUGAUGAUGUUUUAGAAGAAGAGAGACCGAGACGAGAGGGAAUAAGGUGUCGAUCAGGUAGAGCACAAGUAAGGGGCAGGUUGAAAAAAGCUCUGUUUAAUGUUUAUAUUUAUCUUCUUCUGCUAACUUGAAUGGCCGCGUGGCGAGCUACUAGUCACUUGCCCCACUAAAAAUCUAUACACUGAAACUGAAAACGCCCUCACGAGAAACUUCUAUUCUUUUAAAUUAAUCCAUUAAUUAAAAUAAUCUAUUUUUAUAAUAAAAUAAAAUUAUACAGCUUGAACAUCCAAAAACUUCAUAUUCUCAUAUUCCAGUAAAAUACGAGCAACGGAUAGGAAACGAUAAUUGGAAAAUGAAAAAAUGGAAGGAUUUAUGAGAACACUAUGCGUCCACUUAUCUUUAUCAGAGUUUCUGUGGUUUUCUCUGAAAGCUGAUGAAGAAGAUUGUUAUGCAGCAGAGAAUGAAGGAGGGCCUUGAAAAUCAGGCUCAUGAAGAAGAUUAUUUGUGUAGUUUUAUGGAAAAGGGUAAAUGCUUCCAAAGUUGGAAGCAACUUUCGUAAGGCCAGCCAUU
rnacentral:misc_RNA from 1 species